rnacentral:rRNA from 1 species
UGCCAGCARCCGCGGUAAGACGAACCGUGCGAACGUUGUUCGGAAUCAUUGGGCUUAAAGGGCGCGUAGGCGGGUGUUCAAGUCCGGGGUGAAAUCCUCCAGCUCAACUGGAGAAGAGCCCCGGAUACUGUUCAUCUAGAGAGAGGUAGGGGCACAUGGAACUUCCGGUGGAGCGGUGAAAUGCGUAGAGAUCGGAAGGAACGCCGGUGGCGAAAGCGAUGUGCUGGAUCUUUUCUGAMRCUGAGGCGCGAAAGCUAGGGGAGCAAACGGGAUUAGAUACCCUGGUAGUCC